CACAGAGUUAAAGACCCUUGAUCUAAUCUUACCCUCUCAUUUCAUAGGAAAAUGAGGCUUAGAAAGAUUGCCAUGGGGCAAAUGUUCUUCUGUGGAAGUGUCACAUAGAUAAUGGAUGAAUUCAACCUGGCUAACAACUUAAAGAGGACCCCUUUGUUCUCUGACGCUCAGGAGUCUUCGAUGUUUUCUGGCCAGUUGGAAGCACAAUUUCAGACAGGUCACUUGUCACCUGGACCCUAAUGGGUGAAAAGAAGUCGAACACACACUCUACAGACUGUAUUUUUUCAGCCAUUAGGAAGAGGUUGACAUCGAGCACUUUGACCAGGAUUUGGGAGAGAGCUGUUAAGAGGUGUUUGUCCCACAGCACCCUCUGGCUACUGGUGAGAUGUUUGCGGAAUGAAUCGGAGCGCUGACAAGCUUAACUGGGAGGGAGGUUUUUCUCACUACGACAUCCUAAGCCAUAUUCAUUUGAUAUAUAUAAAAAUUCAUUUAUCAACGGAACACAAAUUCUGUAUGUAAACGGGGCAUCAGCACACUUUACCGUGUAAUUUUACUGUGUAAUAUAAUAAAGGUUAUAGGAGCA
rnacentral:lncRNA from 1 species